CUUUGGGAUAACCCUCGGAAACGGGGGCUAAUACUGGAUAUGACCUUCUUCCGCAUGGUGGGGGGUGGAAAGUUUUUCGGCCUGGGAUGGGCUCGCGGCCUAUCAGCUUGUUGGUGGGGUGAUGGCCUACCAAGGCGGUGACGGGUAGCCGGCCUGAGAGGGCGACCGGCCACACUGGGACUGAGACACGGCCCAGACUCCUACGGGAGGCAGCAGUGGGGAAUAUUGCACAAUGGGCGGAAGCCUGAUGCAGCGACGCCGCGUGAGGGAUGACGGCCUUCGGGUUGUAAACCUCUUUCAGUAGGGACGAAGCGUUUUGUGACGGUACCUACAGAAGAAGCGCCGGCCAACUACGUGCCAGCAGCCGCGGUAAGACGUAGGGCGCGAGCGUUGUCCGGAUUUAUUGGGCGUAAAGAGCUCGUAGGCGGCUUGUUGCGUCGACUGUGAAAACCCGGGGCUUAACUGCGGGCUUGCAGUCGAUACGGGCAGGCUGGAGUUCGGUAGGGGAGACUGGAAUUCCUGGUGUAGCGGUGAAAUGCGCAGAUAUCAGGAGGAACACCGGUGGCGAAGGCGGGUCUCUGGGCCGAUACUGACGCUGAGGAGCGAAAGCGUGGGGAGCGAACAGGAUUAGAUACCCUGGUAGUCCACGCUGUAAACGUUGGGCGC
rnacentral:rRNA from 1 species